UACGUAGGGGGCUAGCGUUGUCCGGAAUCAUUGGGCGUAAAGCGCGUGUAGGCGGUCCGGUAAGUCCGCUGUGAAAGUCGGGGGCUCAACCCUCGAAUGCCGGUGGAUACUGUCGGGCUAGAGUGCGGAAGAGGCGAGUGGAAUUCCUGGUGUAGCGGUGGAAUGCGCAGAUAUCAGGAGGAACACCAAUAGCGAAGGCAGCUCGCUGGGACGGUACUGACGCUAAGGCGCGAAAGCGUGGGGAGCGAACAGG
rnacentral:rRNA from 1 species